GGGGAGGUGGCCGAGAGGCUUAAGGCGCCGCUCUCGAAAAGCGGUUCCCGAGUUUUCGGGACGUGGGUUCAAAUCCCACCCUCUCCGCCA
rnacentral:tRNA from 1 species